rnacentral:rRNA from 1 species
GACGAACGCUGGCGGCGUGCUUAACACAUGCAAGUCGAACGGAAAGGCCCUGCUUUUGUGGGGUGCUCGAGUGGCGAACGGGUGAGUAACACGUGAGUAACCUGCCCUUGACUUUGGUAUAACUUCAGGAAACUGGGGCUAAUACCGGAUAGGAGCUCCUGCUGCAUGGUGGGGGUUGGAACGUUUCGGCGGUUGGGGAUGGACUCGCGGCUUAUCAGCUUGUUGGUGGGGUAGUGGCUUACCAAGGCUUUGACGGGUAGCCGGCCUGAGAGGGUGACCGGGGACAUUGGGACUGAGAGACGGACCAGACGCGUACGGGAGGCAGCAGUGGGGAAUAUUGCACAAUGGGCGGAAGCCUGAGGCAGCAACGCCGCGGGCGGGAUGACGGCCUUCGGGGUGUAAAACGCUUUCGCCUGUGACGAAGCGUGAGUGACGGUAAUGGGUAAAGAAGCACCGGCUAACUACGUG